GACCUCAGAUCAGGCAAGACUACCCGCUGAAUUUAAGCAUAUCAAUAAGCGGAGGAAAAGAAACUAACAGGGAUUCCCCCAGUAACGGCGA
rnacentral:rRNA from 1 species